CUGGCACAAAUAUUGAGCCAAUUAUAGGUUAGGGGUGCUUGGGAGAGAAUUCUGCUUCUACUGUUAAUCUUUUUGUAUGCCUUAUUGGAGGAACUGGAAUGCUGCACCCUUCAGGACAGUGAGGACUAUUCAAAUCCAGUUUCUUGUUGCCUGGAUCAGCAACCCACACAGGAGAGCAAGCUUCCCCAAACACCAAAGACCUUGUCAACGCAGGGUAACACAAGUCCCUUGAAGGUGCAGCUCGUGUAUACAACCAAUAUCCAGGAACCCAAUGUCUACAGUGAGGUCCAAGAGCCAAAACAAUCAGUCUUACCUCCUAAGACCUCAGCAGCUGCUCAGUUGGAUGAGCUCAUGGCCCACCUGAACGAACUUCAGGCCAAGGUUUCAGUGAAAGCAGAUGCUAGCAGGAAACCCUUGCCAGACAAGCAGGAUCACAAGGCAUCUCUCGACUCAAUGCUUGGGGGUUUGGAACAGGAACUACAAGAUCUUGGGAUUGCUACAGUCCCCAAGGGCCACUGUGCUUCCUGCCAGAAACCAAUUGCUGGGAAGGUGAUCCAUGCUCUGGGGCAAUCCUGGCACCCAGAGCACUUUGUCUGUACUCACUGCAAGGAGGAGCUUGGCUCCAGUCCCUUCUUUGAACGAAAUGGGUUAGCCUACUGCUCAAAAGACUACCAUCACCUGUUCUC
rnacentral:lncRNA from 1 species